rnacentral:rRNA from 1 species
AGCUCCAAUAGCGUAUAUUAAAGUUGUUGCAGUUAAAAAGCUCGUAGUUGUAUUUGUGGCGUUCGCUAGGCUCCCUUUCCCUCUGGGGAUUUGGUGUUGCCUGGCGUUGCCAUCCUUGGGUGGAACCUGUGUGGCAUUAGGUUGUCGUGCAGGGGAUGUCCAUCGUUUACUGUGAAAAAAUUAGAGUGUUCAAAGCAGGCUUACGCCGUUGAAUAUAUUAGCAUGGAAUAAUAAGAUAGGACCUUGGUACUAUUUUGUUGGUUUGCGCACCGAGGUAAUGAUUAAUAGGGACAGUUGGGGGUAUUCGUAUUCCAUUGUCAGAGGUGAAAUUCUUGGAUUUUUGGAAGACGAACUACUGCGAAAGCAUUUACCAAGGAUGUUUUCAUUAAUCAAGAACGAA